rnacentral:misc_RNA from 1 species
UCCCACCCGUGUCUCUUGUACCAUGUUGCUUCGGCGAGCCCGCCUCACGGCCGCCGGGGGGCAUCUGCCCCCGGGCCCGCGCCCGCCGAAGCCCCCUCUGAACGCUGUCUGAAGAUUGCAGUCUGAGCGAUAAGCAAAAAUUAUUUAAAACUUUCAACAACGGAUCUCUUGGUUCCGGCAUCGAUGAAGAACGCAGCGAAAUGCGAUAACUAAUGUGAAUUGCAGAAUUCAGUGAAUCAUCGAGUCUUUGAACGCACAUUGCUGGUAUUCCGGGGGGCAUGCCUGUCCGAGCGUCAUUGCUGCCCUCAAGCACGGCUUGUGUGUUGGGCCUCCGUCCUCCCCCCACGGGCCCGAAAGGCAGCGGCGGCACCGUGUCCGGUCCUCGAGCGUAUGGGGCUUUGUCACCCGCUCUGUAGGCCCGGCCGGCGCUGGCCGACCCUCCAACCCCAUUUUUU